rnacentral:rRNA from 1 species
GACGAACGCUGGCGGCGUGCUUAACACAUGCAAGUCGAACGGUGACCUGGGGAGCUUGCUCUUCGGUGAUCAGUGGCGAACGGGUGAGUAACACGUGAGUAACCUGCCCCAGACUCUGGAAUAACCCCGGGAAACCGGAGCUAAUACCGGAUACGAAGUAGAGCUGCAUGGCUACUACUUGGAAAGUUUUUCGGUCUGGGAUGGACUCCCGGCCUAUCAGCUUGUUGGUGAGGUAAUGGCGCACCAAGGCGACGACGGGUAGCCGGCCUGAGAGGCCGACCGGCCACACGGUAACUGAGACACGGUCCAGGCUCCUACGGGAGGCAGCAGUGGGGAAUAUCGGACAAUGGGCGCAAGCCUGAUCCAGCCAUGCCGCGUGUGUGAAGAAGGCCUUCGGGUUGUACAGCACUUUUGUCCGGGAAGAAAAGCCAGGGAUUAAUACCCCCGGGUUCUGACGGUACCGGAAGAAUAAGCACCGGCUAACUUC